UACAGAGGUCCCAAGCGUUGUUCGGAUUCAUUGGGCGUAAAGGGUGCGUAGGCGGCGCGGGAAGUCGGGUGUGAAAUCUCGGAGCUUAACUCCGAAACUGCAUUCGAUACUGCCGUGCUUGAGGACUGGAGAGGAGACUGGAAUUUACGGUGUAGCGGUGAAAUGCGUAGAUAUCGUAAGGAACACCGGUGGCGAAGGCGGCAUCCUGGACCGGUAUUGACGCUGAGGCGCGAAAGCCAGGGAGCAAACGGG
rnacentral:rRNA from 1 species